CAUUACCGAGUUUACAACUCCCAAACCCAAUGUGAACCAUACCAAACUGUUGCCUCGGCGGGGUCACGCCCCGGGUGCGUCGCAGCCCCGGAACCAGGCGCCCGCCGGAGGGACCAACCAAACUCUUUUCUGUAGUCCCCUCGCGGACGUUAUUUCUUACAGCUCUGAGCAAAAAUUCAAAAUGAAUCAAAACUUUCAACAACGGAUCUCUUGGUUCUGGCAUCGAUGAAGAACGCAGCGAAAUGCGAUAAGUAAUGUGAAUUGCAGAAUUCAGUGAAUCAUCGAAUCUUUGAACGCACAUUGCGCCCGCCAGUAUUCUGGCGGGCAUGCCUGUCCGAGCGUCAUUUCAACCCUCGAACCCCUCCGGGGGGUCGGCGUUGGGGACCUCGGGAGCCCCUAAGACGGGAUCCCGGCCCCGAAAUACAGUGGCGGUCUCGCCGCAGCCUCUCCUGCGCAGUAGUUUGCACAACUCGCACCGGGAGCGCGGCGCGUCCACGUCCGUAAAACACCCAACUUCUGAAAUGUUGACCUCGGAUCAGGUAGGAAUACCCGCUGAACUUAAGCAUAUCAAUAA
rnacentral:rRNA from 1 species